rnacentral:piRNA from 1 species
GCAGUACUUCCAGGAACGGUGCA